rnacentral:rRNA from 1 species
GAUGAACGCUGGCGGCGUGCCUAAUACAUGCAAGUCGAGCGAACAGACGAGGAGCUUGCUCCUCUGACGUUAGCGGCGGACGGGUGAGUAACACGUGGAUAACCUACCUAUAAGACUGGGAUAACUUCGGGAAACCGGAGCUAAUACCGGAUAAUAUAUUGAACCGCAUGGUUCAAUAGUGAAAGACGGUUUUGCUGUCACUUAUAGAUGGAUCCGCGCCGCAUUAGCUGGUUGGUAAGGUAACGGCUUACCAAGGCAACGAUGCGUAGCCGACCUGAGAGGGUGAUCGGCCACACUGGAACUGAGACACGGUCCAGAGUCCUACGGGAGGCAGCAGUAGGGAAUCUUCCGCAAUGGGCGAAAGCCUGACGGAGCAACGCCGCGUGAGUGAUGAAGGUCUUCGGAUCGUAAAACUCUGUUAUUAGGGAAGAACAAAUGUGUAAGUAACUAUGCACGUCUUGACGGUACCUAAUCAGAAAGCCACGGCUAACUACGUG